rnacentral:rRNA from 1 species
AACGAACGCUGGCGGCAUGCCUAACACAUGCAAGUCGAACGAACCCUUCGGGGUUAGUGGCGCACGGGUGCGUAACGCGGGGGAAUCUGCCCUUUGCUUCGGAAUAACUCAGGGAAACUUGUGCUAAUACCGGAUGAUGUCUUCGGACCAAAGAUUUAUCGGCAAGGGAUGAGCCUGCGUAGGAUUAGGUGGUUGGUGGGGUAAAGGCCUACCACGGCGUGGAUCGUUAGCUGGUCAGAGAGGAUGGGCAGCCACACUGGGAGUGAGACACGGCCGAGAAUCUUAGGCGAUGGAGGAGUGGGGAAUAUAGGAAUACGGGCGCAGGGAAGAACCAGCAAGGCUGGGUGAGUGAUGAAGGUCCGCGGGUAGUAAAGCACUUUUAUCCGGGGUGGUAAUGACGGUACCUGGAGAAUAAGCACCGGCUAACUCCGUG